ACAAAAGUCACACUGUGUAUACUGGUAAAUGAACAUUCCUCACUGCAGUAAUGUCAGAAUGGUGAGAAGAGUUACACCACACUGUGUCACACUGUUUAGCAUGAUGACAAAUGUUAUACUGCACUGUACACACUGUUUACUGUGAGGAAAACAGUUAUAAUGUGCUGUGUCACACUGUCCGGGGUGAUGCUAAGAGUUAGACCAUGCUUUGUCACACUGUGCACACUUAAACAACAUCACUGAAGUAAUGCCAAGAGAUGAUUUGGAGUCAUAACAAAUCUUUCAAGACAUGAUGGGACCUCUGACAAAUAGACAAAUACUAAUACCCCCCCCCCAGUUGCCAGUGGGUCAAAAAGUAUUAUAGGUAAUGAACCCAUGAAUGUAGGGAAUACUUUCAGUACACUGAAACCAUGUUUCACUUACUAUACAAAUAUCAAUAUGUUUCAGUUAGAGGGCCUCAAGUUUGGGCAAAUGUCUAUUAAGAUUUCUGGCAUUAAGUAGAAGCUACCUUUAUUUGUUACAAAUUGGGAUUUAUUAGGUUUGAAUGUCCAAUAGAUGGACCCUGCCUGUAAAAGGUACAACAGGGACAGAAAAUUCUUUAACCCCGGUAAAAGAGGUGUAGACCAUCCUUGGCAAAGCAGAAAGGCUUGGCAACUCAAGUGAACACGUACUGAAUCUUCUUAAAAUGCCAGCUAUAUAGCCAGUAAAUAAAGAUGGCUGUCUUGUCUUUGAAUCUUUCUGUCAUUCUCUGUGAUGGCAAAAUACCAUUCAAGAAGAGAGUCUUUCCUGCCUCAGAUACAUGCAUAGCAAGGUCCAUCAUAACCUUUUGCAUACCUCUAGCUAGAGCACCUAGUCAUCCCCCCAUGGACAACUACCUGGUUGUAAUCACAUUUGACAGGAUGGAGAAAUUGGACAACCCUCAAUACUUCCUGGAUUGUGGCUCUGAAAGGUUAGGUACCCAUGACCCCAUUCUUAUCCAGCCCAGAGACAGUGGAGUCAGAGUGUCUGACAAUGGAGAAAACACUUACCAAAACAGUACCAUGAGUAGAUGCAGUAUCAGAGCGUCUGAAAAUUGAGUAAACACUUACCAAAACAGUACCAUGAGUAGAUGCAGACUAACCUUAAAAGUUUGGAGUCAACACCCCUUGUGACUGUUAGAGGUAUGUGUAUUGGCUAUUAGUGGUGCGGGGGAGGGGGGGGGGUGAAGGACAUAGCAGAAAGUGAUGCCAUGAGCUAGUAGUUUUGUUUUCUCAGUCCUAUGUCUAUAGGCUUUGGAAGUGAUUUCUGAAAACAUCAGCAUGUAUAGAUGGAGUGGAGUGCCCUGAGAUGUGGAUGUGUGCAUGUGGUGCUUAACAAAUGUGAUUGGAGGUCAUAGGGAGACCUCUAACUUUAGUAAGUAGUUAUACCUGUCAGUCAUCGUGAGGCACCAAUAAUGGAUUCUCACUAGAUAUGAGGCAGCUUUAAAUCAGCUAGUGUUUACUUAUAUGGACAGCUAGACAAGGGACUAGAGCUGACCAGGAUUCCAUACUGGGCAAUAGGUUUCAAUGGGUAUAAGAAGGAGGAUAGGUUUUAAAAUACACUCUUUGAUAUCUUAAAGUGCUAGAACGGACAAUUGAUAUAAACAUUUGUAUUUAUUGGGUUACAUGAUGGUUUUGUAAGUUGGUUUAGUGAGCAAAGUGAAACAUUUAUUGUAUGUUAGCCUACCCAUUAAUCUUUUUAUUCUGAAGAUUUUGGAGAAGAAAUGCAUAUAACUACUUUAUUAAUUAAAAGUAAUGCCUAUAACUGGCAACACAGCCAGUUAUGAAUGAUUCCAAUUACAGUCUGUUGAUGCUAAAUGGGACUGAGACACAUAUGUUAUUCACUAAAGGCAUUGCUUUGAUAAACUAUAAAAUAAGUUCAUAAACAUGUUUAUCUUCUAAGCUCUUCAGAAUGAAAAGUUUAAUUAGCACAGCAGAGUGUAAAGAAGUAAACUGCUGAGUUAAUUUUUAUUUAGUUGUCUUAUGGCAUUGCAAGAUCCCUGAGCAUUUAAUAGCAACUGUGAGUGGUGCCUGAAUACCUACAGUAUGUGCAAUGGCUGAUGGUUAUUAGCGCUACCCUUAAUGUCUGGAGACAUAUUUUAGGACACACCCACAAAGCAUCAUUAUCUAGUAUUAAGUUCUUGUAAGAAAAGGUUUAGGUUGGUUUUUGCUAUCAACAUCUUUGCUUCUCUUUUCCUUUGAAAAUCUAACCUAACUGUGUGUCUAAAGGUGUAUUGUACAGGAGAAUUGGAGCUGGCUGGCACCAGUUCCUUGUCUGCUAACCUCCCCAGUUCAGUCCUAAGUACCUAACACCUCAGAACAGAAAUGAAUCAUUGUUAACUGCUUUCUUCAUAUUUGGAAGGCAUUUUUAACAAUGCCACUAACUACCAAACAAGAAGUAAUUACAAAAGAGGGCAUUGUUUAGCAUGCACUGUAACAUCGGCACAUGCAAAAGUAAUUACAGCUUCUAAUUCAUUGAUUUGACUUUAAUGUGGCUGAUUCAUCAGUUAGGUUAAGACUGAAACAAAUGUUUGGCCUAUACUCAAAGAGUUAGCUCUAGUACAGCAUGUGAUUCUGUUAGACUAGGUCUUAGAGGACCAGUAUAAAAUGUUUUGCACAUUUCAGGUUUAUUUUUAAUAUCAGUAUUUUAACAGUUGUAAAGUGCCUUUUUAUGGUAGAUGACAUUUAACGUGUCCUUCUCACUGCAGUACAGACAGCAAUGAGCCAAAAUGUGCUAGCAGAAGAGAGGAACGUUAUUAACAUUAAUAAAGAUCAAUAAAAAACAGACGUUUAAGUUUA